UGCAUCUGAUACUGGCCAAGCUUGAGUCUCGUAGAGGGGGGUAGAAUUUCCAGGUGUAGCGGUGAAAUGCGUAGAGAUCUGGAGGAAGUACCGGUGGCGAAGGCGGCCCCCUGGACGAAGACUGACGCUCAGGUGCGAAAGCGUGGGGAGCAAACAGGAUUAGAUACCCUGGUAGUCCACGCCGUAAACGAUGUCGACUUGGAGGUUGUGCCCUUGAGGCGUGGCUUCCGGGAGCUAACGCGUUAAGUCGACCGCCUGGGGGAGUACGGCCGCAAGGUUAAAACUCAAAUGAAUUGACGGGGGCCCGCCACAAGCGGUGGAGCAUGUGGUUUAAUUCGAUGCAACGCGAAGAACCUUACCUGGUCUGGACAUCCACGGGAAGGUUUUCAGAGGAUGAGAAUGGUGCCUUCGGGAACCCGUGGAGACAGGUGCUGGCAUGCCUGUUCCGUCAGCCUCGUGUUUGUGAAAUGUUGGGUUAAGUCCCGCAACGGAGCGCAACCCAUAUACAUUUGUUGCCAACGGUCCGGCCGGGAACUCAAAGGAGACUGCCAGUGAUAAACUGGCAGGAAGGUGGGCGAGUGACCUCUAAGUCAUCAUGGCCCUUACGACCAGGGCUACACACGUGCUACAAUGGCGCAUACAAAGAGAAGCGACCUCGCGAGAGCAAGCGGACCUCAUAAAGUGCGUCGUAGUCCGGAUUGGAGUCUGCAACUCGACUCCAUGAAGUCGGAAUCGCUAGUAAUCGUGGAUCAGAAUGCCACGGUGAAUACGUUCCCGGGCCUUGUACACACCGCCCGUCACACCAUGGGAGUGGGUUGCAAAAGAAGUAGGUAGCUUAACCUUCGGGAGGGCGCUUACCACUUUGUGAUUCAUGACUGGGGUGAAGUCGUAACAAGGUAGCCGU
rnacentral:rRNA from 1 species